rnacentral:rRNA from 2 species
AAAACUUUCAACAAUGGAUCUCUUGGUUCCGGCAUCGAUGAAGAACGCAGCGAAAUGCGAUAACUAAUGUGAAUUGCAGAAUUCAGUGAAUCAUCGAGUCUUUGAACGCACAUUGCGCCCCCUGGUAUUCCGGGGGGCAUGCCUGUCCGAGCGUCAUUUCUCC